UAGGGAAUAUUGGACAAUGGGGGCAACCCUGAUCCAGCCAUGCCGCGUGAGUGAAGAAGGCCCUCGGGUUGUAAAGCUCUUUUGUCCGGAAAGAAAAGCAUUCGGUGAAUACCCGGAUGUUCUGACGGUACCGGAAGAAUAAGCACCGGCUAACUUCGUGCCAGCAGCCGCGGUAAUACGAAGGGUGCAAGCGUUACUCGGAAUUACUGGGCGUAAAGCGUGCGUAGGUGGUUGUUUAAGUCUGAUGUGAAAGCCCUGGGCUCAACCUGGGAAUGGCAUUGGAAACUGGGCAGCUAGAGUGCGGUAGAGGGUAGUGGAAUUCCCGGUGGAGCAGUGAAAUGCGUAGAGAGCGGGAGGAACAUCUGUGGCGAAGGCGACUGCCUGGACCAUCACUGUCACUGAGGCACGAAAGCGUGGGGAGCAAACA
rnacentral:rRNA from 1 species